AUUGAACGCUGGCGGCGUGCCUAAUACAUGCAAGUCGAGCGGACAGAUGGGAGCUUGCUCCCGGAAGUCAGCGGCGGACGGGUGAGUAACACGUGGGCAACCUGCCUGUAAGACUGGGAUAACUUCGGGAAACCGGAGCUAAUACCGGAUACGUUCUUUUCUCGCAUGAGAGAAGAUGGAAAGAUGGUUUCGGCUAUCACUUACAGAUGGGCCCGCGGCGCAUUAGCUGGUUGGUGAGGUAAUGGCUCACCAAGGCGACGAGGCGUAGCCGACCUGAGAGGGUGAUCGGCCACACUGGGACUGAGACACGGCCCAGACUCCUACGGGAGGCAGCAGUAGGGAAUCUUCCGCAAUGGACGAAAGUCUGACGGAGCAACGCCGCGUGAACGAUGAAGGCCUUCGGGUCGUAAAGUUCUGUUGUUAGGGAAGAACAAGUACCAGAGUAACUGCUGGUACCUCGACGGUACCUAACCAGAAAGCCACGGCUAACUACGUGCCAGCAGCCGCCGUAACAC
rnacentral:rRNA from 1 species